rnacentral:lncRNA from 1 species
AAAGUUAGAGGCUGCGCUCUUUUUUAUGGCUGACAUUUUAAAUUUUGAAAUGUCAUCAUCCAGAAUUCACCCCAGCAAGCACAGGGCGUGUUCCUGCCAAGCUUUGCCAAGUGCUGCUUUGGUGCUUUUUGAAUGUGAAAAUACCAGCCUUUUUAUUGCCCUGGCUGUUCAGGAACGUGAUCCUGGCAACUGUUCCCUUUUCCCCAUUUUAACCUUUUUUUCCUCUGCAUUGAAAUUGCUGUAUAAUGUUUUGGUAGGUGACAUCCUGCUCUCAAAUCCAGCAGCCCCCAAAACCUGCGUGUAGCUGUGGCAUGACCAUAAAACUGGGGACUUCCAGGUAAAUUCUGCCUGGCAGUUUCUGUGCAUUCACAGCUGAUGUAGCCAAGCUUAUGGCUGUGAGUGGAGCAGGGUUAAACACUGACGUGGUGCUGAGGUUAUUCAAGCAAGAGUGGAGUGAAUUAAACAAGGCAGGUAGGAGGGAAGGGGAAGAAAUGGGGAGAGACAUCACCCUAAUCACAGUAAUGCAGUCAACGUCUCUGUCCCUUUGCACUAUUAUACUUUAAAUUAAUAACAUCCAUUUUACUAAAUAUGGUGGCAAUUAUGCUUGAUCUUUUCAUGGAGCUCAGUGGAUUUACUGUCACUGAAACCACUUAGAGCUCGGGCUGUUCAAGAUUGCUGGGGUGUUGUUUCCAUCCACAAUAACCACAGUGGCUUGGGGCUUGGAUGGAAAUUAUAGUGAAUAGCUUGUAUUUAGAAAGCUUUUAAGUCUGCUGUGGUUGAGAGGCCCCUGGUUAUGCACAUCCAGCCCUGAGGCUUUAUCAUUUCAGCCUCUCUUGUCCUGCCACUUGAAUUGUAUUGUGCCCUUGUGAAAAGCGACACAUGGUGUAAAGAACACAGGAAAAGAUGGAUAUUUAAAGCUGCAGGAUUUUUAUCUGAAAUGAAGAAGGAAAUACAAUCAGAGUGCCCUACUAAGAUUUCCCAUCCAAAUCACUUUAAACUAGAGGUGCAAGUCCCUUAAAAAUUAAUUUGCUACAAGUGUCAUUCCUGCAGCAAAGUUAGCACUGGUGUCUCUCCCAGGAAAUCUCACCUUCUUGCAGCUGGAAGCCCUGUGGUGGCUGGGAUUUUGUACCACCAGUCAGGAAUGAUGGGCUGCCUGUUCAGAGGAAGUCAGGUUUCCUUUGAGGUAGCUGAUCUCCAUGGAUUGAGUUUUUGUUAGCUUUUAACAGGGAUUAAAGAAUAGGAGGGAUAGGUCCACUGUGAAAUGAUAUGUAAUUAUAUGUUUGCCUCAUUUAGUUGGCUGAAGAUAAAAUAUCAGGGGCAAUUUCUGUGAAAAUUUUACAUUUACACUGUGCCACCAAACGCUUCAGAUAAAAACUUGCAGCUUUAGCUAAGCAGUCUUCUCUUCUGAGAUUAAAAAGGGCUCUUUGGAGCCUCUCAUCGGGUCCUACCCAAAUGAAAAGUUUUACCACUUCUAGCAUAUUUGUCGUUAUAGGAACAGGCCCAUUGCAAAGCACAAGUCAUGUGCAUCUUUGCAUGUAACAGGAAUUUUAAAUUGCAUUGUACUCUUACAUUUUUUCCCCAUUCAAAGGCUUAACCACUGAUAGGAGAUAGAGCCCUCCGAAACCCUUACUGCUAAAUGCAUUAUCUCUUUCUAAAGCAAUGUAUGUCCUUUGGUCUUUUAAAAAUUUCCUCAUAAUGGAGUCCUUGAAACAUCUUGAGGCAGGCUCACGCUGGAGAGCAAGAGAGCAAUUCUUUGUGGGUGGUGCUAUUUUUGCUGAGGCUUGGAUUGUAGCUGAAAAAAUGUUGCUGUUAGAGCUUUUCUCACACUCCCUUAGCUGCAAAGCCCACCAGCUGGAUCUCUGCAGGGUGGCUGCCUUAGAGCAGAGAGUGACCUCCCACACCAAACCACAGCCUGGUGAUUUUUGUCUUUGGCUGGGUCCUUCUCUGGCCCUGUGCAGUCUGUCACAGGUAAUGAGACACUUUGGCAGUUUUAGUGGUUCUGCAGAUGAUGUGUACCUGUGCCUGAGUGGGAUAAAUGAUGCUGCUCGUUGUUGGGUGCUGUUCUCACAAGCCUUUGACCACCUUGAGAGCAGAACUCCUGAGGGCAGGCACUGCUGGAGGAGUUCACUUUCUUGUCACUUUUUGUGGGUUAUCAGAGUGAGCACAGAAGUGAAGAUGAACAAAUCCUGCAGAGUAAGAGUGUGCCAGAAACCUCAGAAAGGGCAGAUCUGAGCAAGCAGUGUCCAGUGUGUUUGUCAGAGAAGGGCUAAGUGGGCAGCAUUCACACCUGCAUUCCUGCCUAGGCCAGGGCUUUCCCUGGGCUGUGACCCAGACCUUGGUCUGGAUCUGCCCUGUUGGUAUUUGGGAGCAGGGAAGGGACUGAGCUGCUGGAUCUGGAUUUUGCUUGUGGCUUUAUUUUUUUCCCACCCUGUAUUUGAAUUAGUUUCCCUGCAAGCAAAUGCCAAUAGAGUUGUCAAUAUUCACCAAAAAAAAUCUCCAUAUAUGUAGAGCCAACAGCAAAACAUUCAGUGAGAGUCAAAGGAAACCUUGUUCAUCUACAGCAGCAGCAUAAAAGGCAUGACCCCUAUGCUACAGCAGCUUUCAUCUGUGAUGGGAAAACACCUUGUCUGACCUCUACUCUGAAAACCACCAAUGACCUUGAUCAUGUAAACAGGACAAAGUGAAUUUAAAGUCUGAUCACAGUUCUCAUGACAAAAUUCAGAUUUGUCUUUUUUUUUUCCUUUUUAAUUUAUGUAUGUGUGUGGUUGUGUGGGAAAAUAUAAAGCUUUUUUGUAUCAAAUAACAUCAAUCCUUGCACACUCUAUGCAAAAUUUUGUAAGCAUUGCAAUAAUGCUAUGAAUUACACAAGGAACUAUUUUAACUUUAUUACACUUUCUGUAUAAAAAAAAAGUUUGUAUUUAAAUGAUUUCAACUGCAAUCUUGUAAAAUAUAUUAAUAAAAUAAUGAUUGU